ACUUUUUUAAUAUAAUCAUUAUAGAUGACUUCCAAUCAUCCAACCUCAGCACAAACCUGAGAAAAAGUA
rnacentral:tRNA from 1 species